rnacentral:tRNA from 1 species
GCCAAAAUAGCUCAGUUGGGAGAGCGUUAGACUGAAGAUCUAAAGGUCCCUGGUUAUAUCCCGGGUUUCGGCA